UCUUGCAGAUGAACAAAGGAAAUGGUUUCCUGAGAUGGAAUCUACUCCUAAUGAUGAUGCUGUGAA
rnacentral:pre_miRNA from 1 species